AGUAACACGUAUCCAAUCUACCUUAUAAUGGGGGAUAACUAGUUGAAAGACUAGCUAAUACCGCAUAAGAACUUUGGUUCGCAUGAAUCAAAGUUGAAAGGACCUGCAAGGGUUCGUUAUUUGAUGAGGGUGCGCCAUAUCAGCUAGUUGGUGGGGUAACGGCCUACCAAGGCAAUGACGUGUAGCUAUGCUGAGAAGUAGAAUAGCCACAAUGGGACUGAGACACGGCCCAUACUCCUACGGGAGGCAGCAGUAGGGAAUUUUUCACAAUGAGCGAAAGCUUGAUGGAGCAAUGCCGCGUGAACGAUGAAGGUCUUUAAGAUUGUAAAGUUCUUUUAUUUGGGAAGAAUGACUUUAGCAGGUAAUGGCUAGAGUUUGACUGUACCAUUUUGAAUAAGUGACGACUAACUAUGUGCCAGCAGUCGCGGUAAUACAUAGGUCGCAAGCGUUAUCCGGAUUUAUUGGGCGUAAAGCAAGCGCAGGCGGAUUGAAAAGUCUGGUGUUAAAGGCAGCUGCUUAACAGUUGUAUGCAUUGGAAACUAUUAAUCUAGAGUGUGGUAGGGAGUUUUGGAAUUUCAUGUGGAGCGGUGAAAUGCGUAGAUAUAUGAAGGAACACCAGUGGCGAAGGCGAAAACUUAGGCCAUUACUGACGCUUAGGUUUGAAAGUGUGGGGAGCAAAUAGGAUUAGAUACCCUAGUAGUCCACACCGUAAACGAUAGAUACUAGCUGUCGGGGCGAUCCCCUCGGUAGUGAAGUUAACACAUUAAGUAUCUCGCCUGGGAGGUACAUUCGCAAGAAUGAAACUCAAACGGAAUUGACGGGGACCCGCACAAGUGGUGGAGCAUGUUGCUUAAUUCGACGGUACACGAAAAACCUUACCUAGACUUGACAUCCUUGGCAAAGUUAUGGAAACAUAAUGGAGGUUAACCGAGUGACAGGUGGUGCAUGGUUGUCGUCAGC
rnacentral:rRNA from 1 species